rnacentral:rRNA from 1 species
UACAGAGGGCCCAAGCGUUGCUCGGAUUCACUGGGCGUAAAGGGUGCGUAGGCGGUGCGUUAAGUCGGAUGUGAAAGCUCGGAGCUCAACUCCGAAAUGGCAUUGGAAACUACCUUGCUCGAGGGUUGGAGGGGGGACUGGAAUGCUUGGUGUAGCAGUGAAAUGCGUAGAUAUCAAGCGGAACACCAGUGGCGAAGGCGAGUCCCUGGACAACUCCUGACACUGAGGCACGAAAGCUAGGGGAGCAAACAGG